rnacentral:lncRNA from 1 species
GGCGCUCCUCGCUCGGUCCACUCCACCCGCCAAACUUAGCCUGCCCCCCUCCCUCCCGCCUCCCCUCCAUCGGUCUCCUCCCCCGAUCCCCCUUCUCUCUGGGAAGGGGCUCUUGGAUCCCUCGAUCUCCAAGGCCUUCCUCCCAUUGCCACUGCCACCGCCACCGCCCGUCUCCCCCGUGGUGGUCUCGUCCCGCUCUCCGGCCGCCCGAUCGAGCAAAACCGCCGCUGCCACGCUCCCCACCACCCCUUGCUCCGCCCCGGCCGGUCGGGUUCGGUCACUUUGGCGCGCGGCGAUCGAGGCCGGUAGCAUGGCGUUCCACGAAGUGGAGUCGAC